GCUGUAUAGUUGUAUAAAAUCAGCAUAGAUUCUUCUAGUUAAAUGUGUAUAAAUGCCCGAUAUGCAUAUUUACCUCCUCAGUCUUUUGUUCAUUGUGAUCAGCAGGUGAUUAUGCCUCCAUCUCCUGAUUGUCAUGUGAUCUCUGUAAAAAGUGAGUGUCAGUUCAUACAUUUCAUGAAUUGACAAUUCAUACUGAUAGUUAUUGUCAAAA